GCAACCGAUUGAGAUCGGCUCACCGACUAUAGUUCGCGCGUGCGUCGGUGUCGCGGGUUCAAAUCCCGCCGGUUGCA
rnacentral:tRNA from 3 species